UUUUUAAAUCUCCGAAAAGGUGAAGCUAUUUAUGUCUCGAUUUGCUAAGAAAACUUGAUGUCCCGAUCUGCCUGACUCUACCUUUGACUCUUCCUCACAACAACAAAUACGCCACCGGAAAUACGUCACCAUAGGGUGGGGUGCUAAUCUGUCUGCAUGCAGCGCCAUGACAUUUACCCAGGAAUUAUGGGAACAUAAUAAACUCUUAAUCAAAGAGGCAAUGACUUCUGCACAGAAUGGAGAGAGAUGCAUCCGAGUCUGGGUCCUGCCUCUGACUAACCAAUGACUGACAGCCAGCAGUCUCUCUGCCGUAACCAUGGUGACACCUGGUCUCUCAUGGACUCAACACUUGGAGACUUUAAUUGGAGUUUACUGAACUGAAUCAGAGUUCGUAGAAUUAGAGUGGCUUGUAUAGAUGAUAAAUUUAAAGAGAGAAUGAGAGAGGAAAAUAAAAGAUUUGAAUGGGUUUACAAGGCAAGAAAGUUUGAGUGUGAGUUUAAUGGCCACAGAAGAGGAUAAUGGAAAACCUGAGGUCAUGAGUGUUGUCAUGGCGAUAAUGAUGGAGGGAAAAGAUCAAAAGAUAUCUGGCAUGGUGGUGUGGCAUUCUGCGCUCGUGAUGAUUGGUUGAUUGUGCAUUGUAAUAUCUGCUGGUUUGUCACGGCAAACACAUUCGUUAAUAUUUAAAGAUGAUAAUGUGCCAAAGCAGUGAGCAGUGCAUGCUGGGUAACACAGAAAGCAUGGGCCACAGGGCUUCUCCUGGUUUGAGGUGGCAGGCAGUGCUGGAUUAAACCCCCUCCAUUCCUUCCAGAUCUUUCUUUCCUUCUGUAAACUGUUGUUUAGUUAUGUGUGGAUUUUGGUUUGCUAUGCAAAUUGUACAGUGGCCCAGUAGUGCACAAUGAAAUCUCCACAAGACAACAAAAUCUUCACCACACAACAGAAUUAGCACAACGCACAGAAACAAGCCACAGCAACAAAAUAAGCACAACACAUUGAAAUUAACACAACACACAGAAACAAGCAAAACACAAUUAAAUUAGAACAACACAAUAGAAACGAGCCACAAAAACAAAAUAAGCACAACACACAGAAACAAGCCACAACAACAAAAUUAACACAACAUUGAAAUUAGCACAACACAAACCACGACCAGGUCAGCUCCAGAGAAGCUGCUUGCAAAGGUCACCUUCUUCUUCACACAAUGAACAUACAUCAGAUGAGAUUGCAGGGUAACUUAAUAUGUUCAUCGUUAGGUAACACAUUUACUGGAUUUUAUUAAAAUAUAUAAUUUAAUAUGAAUGAAUUAACUCAAGUCAUUUAGAUCCAGUGACCCCUAGGAGGUCACAAGAAACAUUCAAGAGUAAAACAACAGAAAAUGUAUUUUAUUAGUAAGAAAUACAACUCAAAAGGACACUUGCUGGCUGCUUUAUUUCAACGUCUACUCCAAACCAUCCAUUAUAAAAAUAACUUCAAGAAUUUAAACAAAUAUUCUGAUCAUAAAUUAGUACAAAUUAGUGAGAAGAGUUUAAAUUAAGACACUUGUUUGGGGUCAGUACAUUUUUUCUGUUUUUGAAAGAAGUCUCUUUUGUUUUACCAUUUAAAAUAUCUGUUUUCUAUUUCAAUAUAUAUACAAAUCUUGAAUUUUCAGAACCCAUUACUCCUGUCUUCAGUGUCACAUGAUCCUUCAGAAAUAAUUCUGGAGGAUUUGGUGCUCAAUAAACAUUUCUUAUUAUCAUCAUUGUGGAAGACACAAUUCUUUGAUUUAUAGAAAUAUGACAUAACAUUACAUAAAAUUUGUUUGAAAAAGAAAUCUUUUGCAAGAUAAAUCUCUUCACUGUCUCUUUUGAUCAAUUUAACGCUUACAAGCUAAAAAAAAAAAAAAAUCAUUAUUAUAAGAUUUAUUUUACCUCCAAACACUUAUAAUAAUAAUAACACACAAUAAUAAAAUGUUUGUUGUUGUUUGCUACAAUGAAAGUAAAUAGUAUCUGAUGUUGCUUUGGACCCACUGACUUUUUAUUAUAUGGUCAAAAAACAACUGAAAAUGGCUUCAAAAUUUAUUCCAGAGAAGAAAUAAACUUUUUGGACAGGUUUGGAAGAUCAUGAGGGUGAGUAAUUGACAGGAUUUUGAUUUUGGGUGAACUAUCCCUUCACCAACUAUCCCUUAAUGUCCCAUCUUGUGCCAAUGAUGAGCUCCACAGCAAUCUUACUGACAUGGACACAAGUGUGCCUCCUUGGUUUGUAUGUCUCUCAUCCACAUUUGGCAUACAGUAGGUGUGUGUGUGUGUGUGUGUGUUUGUAGAUGAGGGUUGCUGUGCUAAGCAGGUGUGGUUACAGGAGGGGGUGUGACUGCUGACUGUGAGGUUCAGUGGAGUGAUCAAGAGCAAUUUGGGGGCGGAAAUCUGGAGGGACAGGAUGCGUGUGUGUCCAGGGGUUUAGAUUUUUUAGAUAGGCAAGACUACGCUUUCACUGGGGUACACACACACACGCCGCUACACACUUUGCGAGGCCACAGAUGUGCCAUGGUUGGGGGGUAGAGCCAGAAAAUCAGUGGUUAAACAAUGUGUUUGGUUGCACACGUGUGUGUGAGUACAAGCGAGUGUCUCUUAAGCUUGGUAAGACAGUUUUUAGUGCAGUGCUGACAUCAGGGAGUUCACUCAUGCGACGAUGGUAGCCUACUGAGAUUAAAAAAACUUUUUGCAUUAUGCAUGUGUGCAGACAGCCCAAAAACAUUACUAGGUCAGGCAUCUGACACGUGUUUAUGUGGGUUUGUGAGGAUUUAUCUGGGUUAAAUCUUGAUCCACCGCUUUGUAAGAGCAGUUUGGCAUCAAGACCCUCGAAAUGGUAAAGCACACAUAUAGUCUUUCUGACUGGUUGAACAAAUCAGCGUCAUUAUGUGCGUCACAUUUUAUAAAACACAAAAUGUUAUGAAUAGAUAAGAUGUGCAUGUUGGCCAUUUAGUUGUCUAAGAAAUCCAUGCUGAAAGUUGUGAAUUUGGAUGGGGAAAACUAACAACAGAGCAAAAGGGAAGAAAUUAGGACUAAAAUGUAGGCUAAUGCACAGUGUGCACGGCAAUGUAGUGUCUGCAAACUGUAGUGCAAACUGUCGGCAGAAGAAGGUUUUCUGACUGAAUAAUACAUGAACACAAUAUGUGACAGCUCUGUUAUUAUGCAUGAGACUCGCAGAGCUUGUUAACUUUAAAAAGCACAACUGUUGCCCUCAGACACUCCAGGGCUAAUGACUUUGAAACGGUUGAAAUGUUGUUGAAAUUACAGUGAACUGGCAGCUGAGGUUUCCACUGUUUUAUUUACCACGUGAAAUGCAGUGGCUGUGUUUCAUGCAUUACAUUAAUUUUGGUGAUCGUAUUUAAUAUUUUAUAAAACUAAGGAUAAUAAUAAUUACCAUCCUACAUAUAGGGUCAGGUUUCAGGUAAACUAGGGACAUUCAUGAGAUGACCCUGCAUUUAAGCGAUACAUGUAAUUUAAUGGAAAACACACUUCACU